GAAGCAGUUUACAGGGUCAAUGUAGGAUGGUUUUAAUGUUAAACCAUAUAGUCUCGUCCUCAAUAAGGUCGUGCAACAUACAACCACGCAAGCCUGGUAUUGACCUUGAUACUACUCCUACCUGGUAGAAGAACCUGAAAGUACAUUUGACUGAGAAUAGAUGUUCUCUUCAUUGCAUUAUUAUGAAGGA